GUGUAUUAGAUCUUCUCUGUAGAUCAAGUUCUAUAUUUCCCUCAGAUAUCAAGGUUCAAGAUUACGAGAACACGAUCGUCAACCAGUGGAACCUAGAAACAGAAGAAGAUCAUGGGACAUGUCAAAUUCCAGUUAGAAACCACUACUGCCUGCUUUAUAUAUAUAUUCCAAUUACAUAUAUGUAUGCAACUAUAUAUUUGUGUGGACAUCAAGGUUGAAGAUUACGAAAACGCGAUCGUCAACCAGUAGAGAACCUAGAAACAGAAGAAGAUCACAGGACAUGUCAAAUUGCUUCUAACGAGAACAUUCAACGCUUGGUUUCUGGGCGUAUUAGAUCUUCUCUGUAGAUCAAGUUCUAUAUUUGCCUCGGACAUCAAGGUUCAAGAUUACGAGAACGCGAUCGUCAAUCAGUGAAGAACCUAGAAACAGAAGAAGAUCACGGGAUAUGUCAAAUUCCAGUUAGAAACCACUACUGCCUGCUUUAUAUAUAUAUUUGUGUGGACAUCAAGGUUGAAGAUUACGAGAACUCGAUCGUCAACCAGUGAAGAACUUAAAAACAGAAGAAGAUCACGGGACAUGUCAAAUUGCUUCUAACGAGAACAUUCAACGUUUGGUUUCUGGGCGUAUUAGAUCUUCUCUGUAGAUCAAGUUCUAUAUUUAAUGGAAAAACUUUGUUAAAAAAGAUUUAGGGAUUGAUUUCCAUAGAUUUUCUGUGUAAAUAUGAAGUUUUUGAUAUUACAAUUCCAUCAGAAUUUUCAUGUUUUAUUUUCAUCAAAAAGAAAAUAAAGCAAAUUUUUCCUUGUAAAUCAAUAAAAAAUAUUAAAUUCAUUUAUAUGAAAAAAAUUUGAAAAUAUAAUUUAAUAAACUGAAAAUGUUAUUAUAGCAAUAAAAAAUAAAGCAAAU
rnacentral:lncRNA from 1 species